AUUGAACGCUGGCGGCAGGCCUAACACAUGCAAGUCGAGCGAGCGGCGGACGGGUGAGUAAUGUCUGGGAAACUGCCUGAUGGAGGGGGAUAACUACUGGAAACGGUAGCUAAUACCGCAUACCAUCAGAUGUGCCCAGGUGGGAUUGGCUAGUAGGUGGGGUAACGGCUCACCUAGUCGACGAUCCCUAGCUGGUCUGAGAGGAUGACCAGCCACACUGGAACGGGGACGCGGUCCAGACUCCUACGGGAGACAGCAGUGGGAAAUAUUGCACAAUGGGCGCAAGCCUGAUGCAGCCAUGCCGCGUGUGUGAAGAAGGCCAUCGGGUUGUAAAGCACUUUCAGCGGGGAGGCGUUACCCGCAGAAGAAGCACCGGCUAACUCCGUGCCAGCAGCCGCGGUAAUAC
rnacentral:rRNA from 1 species